GCAUGGCGCAGCUACACAUGCAGUCGAGCGGCAGCGACUUAACUGAACCUUCGGGGAACGUUAAGGGCGGCGAGCGGCGGACGGGUGAGUAAUGCCUGGGAAAUUGCCCUGAUGUGGGGGAUAACCAUUGGAAACGAUGGCUAAUACCGCAUGAUGCCUUCGGGCCAAAGAGGGGGACCUUCGGGCCUCUCGCGUCAGGAUAUGCCCAGGUGGGAUUAGCUAGUUGGUGAGGUAAGGGCUCACCAAGGCGACGAUCCCUAGCUGGUCUGAGAGGAUGAUCAGCCACACUGGAACUGAGACACGGUCCAGACUCCUACGGGAGGCAGCAGUGGGGAAUAUUGCACAAUGGGCGCAAGCCUGAUGCAGCCAUGCCGCGUGUAUGAAGAAGGCCUUCGGGUUGUAAAGUACUUUCAGCAGUGAGGAAGGCGGAUGUGUUAAUAGCGCAUUCGUUUGACGUUAGCUGCAGAAGAAGCACCGGCUAACUCCGUGCCAGCAGCCGCGGUAAUACGGAGGGUGCGAGCGUUAAUCGGAAUUACUGGGCGUAAAGCGCAUGCAGGUGGUUUGUUAAGUCAGAUGUGAAAGCCCGGGGCUCAACCUCGGAAUUGCAUUUGAAACUGGCAGGCUAGAGUACUGUAGAGGGGGGUAGAAUUUCAGGUGUAGCGGUGAAAUGCGUAGAGAUCUGAAGGAAUACCGGUGGCGAAGGCGGCCCCCUGGACAGAUACUGACACUCAGAUGCGAAAGCGUGGGGAGCAAACAGGAUUAGAUACCCUGGUAGUCCACGCCGUCAACGAUGUCUACUUGGAGGUUGUGGCCUUGAGCCGUGGCUUUCGGAGCUAACGCGUUAAGUAGACCGCCUGGGGAGUACGGUCGCAAGAUUAAAACUCAAAUGAAUUGACGGGGGCCCGCACAAGCGGUGGAGCAUGUGGUUUAAUUCGAUGCAACGCGAAGAACCUUACCUACUCUUGACAUCCUCAGAAGAGACUGGAGACAGUCUUGUGCCUUCGGGAACUGAGAGACAGGUGCUGCAUGGCUGUCGUCAGCUCGUGUUGUGAAAUGUUGGGUUAAGUCCCGCAACGAGCGCAACCCUUAUCCUUGUUUGCCAGCGAGUAAUGU
rnacentral:rRNA from 1 species